rnacentral:rRNA from 1 species
UACGUAGGGUGCUAGCGUUAUCCGGAUUUACUGGGCGUAAAGGGCGCGUAGGUGGUCUUUCAAGUCGGUGGUUAAAGGCUACGGCUCAACCGUAUUAAGCCGCCGAAACUGGAAGACUUGAGUGCAGGAGAGGAAAGUGGAAUUCUCAGUGUAGCGGUGAAAUGCGUAGAUAUUGAGAAGAACACCAGUAGCGAAGGCGGCUUUCUGGCAAUCAUCAGACGCGGAGGUACGAAAGCGUGGGGAGCAAACAGG